AACUAAACAGACUUUUUGGCCAACCCAGUAUUUUAAAAGUUUUGUCUUUGGUUGCUUAGCUCCAAAUCAAAUCAAUUUAUUGCAUCUGAAUCCAACAGAAAGAUUAAUUAGCUCUUAGGUUAAUUCUUUGGCCUUGCCCACCCGAAACCUGGUCUUUGGGCCGUUGGCAGCUGUUAGACAUUUAGAAUCUCAGGCCUUGCCCCUGGCCUACUGAAUCGGUGUCCGUAUUUUAACAAGAUCUCUGGGUAAUAUUGAGUCACAUUUUAAAUGUGAGGAGCACUGCUCCACUUUGCCUUCCUGAACUUUCUGGGGUCUGUUUCCAGCUUCUUCAAUCAACUCUCUUUUCCUUUGAUUCUCCCCUAAUCAGAUUUCCAGCUGUAACUCAGCAGUUAUAUCCUGGUAAAACUUACCUCCUAAUGAAACCUGGUGGAGGGCUGACCUGUCUGACAUUUAUAUUCACUUUGCAAUGUGAACGGAAUGAAGGAUCAGAUUGUAAUUGUAUCUUUUUAAUGGCCUUUGGAUUCAUAGAGUGGACAAGUGGGUGAGCUGACACAUGAAGUCAAGUGAGGAGACUGGGAUGAGCACCGGUCAGAAAUGCCUGCUUCCUUCUGUUUCAUGAUCCUCGCAACCUCUCCCACAAAUUCUCUUUAUGCACAUUCUCCUAGAAUCCCUCCACCUUGAACUUACAAGCAAGUGGCCUUUGCUUUUGCAUGAAGGCCAGGUAAUCAAAAAAUCCCAAACAACAUAAAAACAUUGACAAGAUUCUCUUUGAAAAAAGUUUAUAUGGUAUGAUUGUGAUAAUAAGAGUUUCCCAGAAUCUGACAAAGAAGGGAGAAGUACCCUGACUCUCAAAAUUAAACUUUCUCAUUUAAUCCUGGAGUAAUAGUCAUUGAUGCAUGCCAGGGGGGUUUGACAUUGGAUACACACUAGAAUCACCUGCUAGUUUUAAAACAAAAUACUUAUAGGCAAUUGAAUCAGAAUCGGGUAAGGGCCAGGCAUCCCUCCUAUAUUUUUAAAGUUUUGAUGAGGUGAUUCUGCUGCACAGUGAGGCUUAAGAACUGAUGACACAGUCAAAUAUGUGAGCAGACACCCAGCAGAGAUUAUAGUUUUUAAGUGUGUAGAUUCAAUCAUUUAUUAACUUAGCCUCUAUCCAGGGCUAUGGCCUGCUGCAGAUUUCAACUGAAGUCCUGUUUAACACAUAAAUGUUUUAUGACCUUACAGGCUGAUUGUUCACCCCAAUGGAAACUUGCUCAAGGUGGGAGAAUUGUGCUCAGUUCCUCAGUUACGCUAGUUUGUCUCUCUGAGUGAACGGUGUCACUGUAAUGAAGACUCCAAGUGGAGCUAGAAGGAAUAUAUUAGAAUAGAUUUUUCCUUCAGCAAGGAUUUAUCUAUGUUUCUGUGGGCCAUUGAUCCCAACUCAUGGGCCCGAGACCCCAGAGGGUAAAGGAGAUUUUAAAUGAAUGCAAAUUCAUACAAAUGCAAACAUUAUCAUUACCUUAAACAUGUCAUGUGAUUUACUCACAUGUAAGUUGACCAUUCUUUUUCGAAUGCGUGGGUUUGAUUGACAGACAAGGUAAAAAAAAUUUUAAGUAUUAUGGAACAUACGAUUGCUUUUAUCAAUUAGUUCAGAAAUAUUUAAUGAGCAUCAAUUGUUUACUAAGUCCCUGGAAUACACAAUUGAACAAGACAGCCCCAAGACCCAGAGACACAUGAAUUAGCAGACGAUGGCCAUCUAGUGAAUUCAAUGCCAAUCCCAUCUAUCUGUGGCAUAAAUUUAGGUGUCUGUAAUUCUGGGAAAACUGCCUUUAAAGCCAAGUGUGUCUGCUCCCUCCUCCCUGUUAGCCUGUACAAAUCUGCUCAAGUGUUAAUUAGCAAUCUCAGGAGAAAAGUACUGUCAUUCAUAAUUGCCUCAGAAUUACCUUUAGGCGUAGUAAACAGUGUCCUGUAAUUGAUGGAUGUCAUGGUUUUAGCCAAAUGCCUUUUCUCAGUCUAUAGUCACUCAAAGGAAAGCAAUAGCCAUGGUGACACUCAAAAUGCCUUGACGUGAAAAGGUUGAGGACACUGAUGCAGUCUGAUUGUCUCAUCUUACAGGGGAGGAGCCUGAGGUUCAGAGAGAGACAAUGGUUUGUUGUAAAUCCAGUCUGUUAACUCUUUUCACAGUAACGAGCUGGCUCUAGCAUAAUGGGGUGCCUUCUUCCCAUCCCGUGCCAGCUAUUGGUGCUGUCUCCCAGACUGCUUACGUGAUAGGGAUGGUCAAUUAUAUCAUUGUUCCCUCUCUGCUAGAGUAUUACACAUCCCUGCACUUAGGGAGCCCACAGUGCCUCUUGGGGGUGUGUAGAGUACAUUUCAUUAUCCAAGAUGUCAGGCUGGGUCAUGUGACCAUCAGAGGUCAAUAAAAUGUGAGCAGCAGUGAUGUAAUUAUGCACAGCCAUGAUAAAGCUUUAAGAACUGGUGUGGGGUGCCGCCAUGUGCUUUUCUCUGCACCAUGGAAAUAGCAUAUUGUGACAGGGAAUAUCCAUCGGCCUGUGAAGAAGACCCAAAUCAAAGCCAUAGCCUGCUCACAACCAACAUGUAAUAUGAACGAAUAAUAAAUCUUUGUUUCAUAAGCCUCUGUGAUUGGGAGGUUUUUUGUUGCCACAUACAGCCUAGCCUAGUAACAGCUAACUAGUACAGAAGGCCAGAGAUCCGCACACUUUCUCUAGAGAACCAGAGUGACUAUUUUAGGCUUGCGGACCACAUACAGCCUUUGUCACAGCUAGUCACCUCUGCAGUAAAUGCAGCCAUGACAAUUGGUAAAUAAAUGGGUGUGUCUGUGUUCCAAUAAAGCUUUAUUUAUAAACACAGAGGACUGCCCCUUGGGCUGUAGUUGGCUAACCCCCUGCAACAGGAUUUUACUUCCCUACCUUUUUGGAGUUGGAUGUGGCCAUGAAGUUGGGCAUGACACCUGCUUUGGCCAGUGGAUGGAACGCACGCUGUUUUAAGAAGUAGUAUGAGUGGUGGCUACUCUCUCUGUCUGAUAUAAUCUCUCAAUUUUCUCUUGA